rnacentral:rRNA from 1 species
GAGUUUGAUCUUGGCUCAGAAUGAACGCUGGCGGCGUGCUUUACACAUGCAAGUUGAGCGAGGCCGGUAGCAAUACCGAGUCGAGCGGCGAACGGGUGAGUAACGCGUGGAUGACCUGCCCUUGAGUGGGGAAUAACCCGGGGAAACUUGGGCUAAUACCGCAUAAGACCGAGAGGUGAAAGCGGGGUCGCAAGAUCUCGUGCUCAUGGAGGGGUCCGCGUUCGAUUAGCUAGUUGGUAGGGUAAUGGCCUACCAAGGCGACGAUCGAUAGCCGGCCUGAGAGGGUGAUCGGCCACACUGGAACUGAGACACGGUCCAGACUCCUACGGGAGGCAGCAGUGGGGAAUUUUGCGCAAUGGGCUAACGCCUGACGCAGCAACGCCGCGUGGAGGAUGAAGGUCUUUGGAUUGUAAACUCCUGUCAGCAGGGAAAAAGGGACUAGGCCUAAUACGUCUGGAACUUGAUUGUACCUGCAGAGGAAGCCCCGGCUAACUCUGUGCCAGCAGCCGCUGU